rnacentral:tRNA from 4 species
CCAAUAGGGCUGCUAUUUGCAGGUUACUUUGAUAUAGUAAAUUUAGGACUUGUGUUUCGUUGGU